GCUGGUGCAAAAACUGGACCAAGGUGGUCA
rnacentral:sRNA from 1 species